CGUGAGGUUGGCCUCCUUGUGAUAAUGUCGAUCUCCGAAUGAUUUCAUGAGGUCGGCCUCCUUGUAAGAUUGGCCUCCUCGUGAGAUUGGCCUCUUUACGAUGAUAUCUGCUUCCUCGUGAGAUCGGCUAAGUGACGAGGAUUUAUCCCAAUAUUCUCUGUUACUAAAAUUCACCAUGCUGUCUUUUCUCUGGGUGGUAACAAAUCCUCCGGG
rnacentral:lncRNA from 1 species